UACGGUAGGGUGCGAGCGUUGUCCGGAAUACUGGGCGUAAAGCGUGCGCAGGCGGUUAUGUAAGACAGAGGUGAAAUCCCCGGGCUCAACCUGGGAACGGCCUUUGUGACUGCAUAGCUGAGUACGGUAGAGGGGGAUGGGAAUUCCGCGUGAGCAGUGAAAUGCGUAGAUAUGCGGAGGAACACCGAUGGCGAAGGCAAUCCCCUGGACCUGUACUGACGCUCAUGCACGAAAGCGUGGGGAGCAAACAGG
rnacentral:rRNA from 1 species